rnacentral:rRNA from 1 species
UGGGGAAUAUUGCACAAUGGGCGCAAGCCUGAUGCAGCGACGCCGCGUGAGGGAUGACGGCCUUCGGGUUGUAAACCCCUUUCAGCAGGGAAGAAGCGCAAGUGACGGUACCUGCAGAAGAAGCGCCGGCUAACUACGUGCCAGCAGCCGCGGUAAUACGUAGGGCGCAAGCGUUGUCCGGAAUUAUUGGGCGUAAAGAGCUCGUAGGCGGUUUGUCGCGUCUGCUGUGAAAACGCGAGGCUCAACCUCGCGCCUGCAGUGGGUACGGGCAGACUAGAGUGCGGUAGGGGAGACUGGAAUUCCUGGUGUAGCGGUGGAAUGCGCAGAUAUCAGGAGGAACACCGGUGGCGAAGGCGGGUCUCUGGGCCGUAACUGACGCUGAGGAGCGAAAGCAUGGGGAGCGAACA